AUUGAGUGAUGAAAGGUUAAAUCAACGGAAUAUGGGGUAAGUGACUAGACAGCGAUGGAGCGGGAACAGGUGAUCACGGGGUACCCUUAAACUUUUCAGGACAAGGGGUGCCAUGGUCUACAAUGUCUACAAGUUUGAUUCUAUAGGUGUUUUUUCAAUGGUCUAUUGUGUUUUCUUGUUCCAUCGAUAGCUUGUUGAUUUAUUAUGUUUUUUGCCACUUGCCAGAGGGUUGGCUUGGCAAAAGAAACGCGCCCCAUAGGCUGUGCCAAAAGCCGGUGCUCGAAUACCAGCAACCAGCGCCCGCCAGUCUGACGUAUACGCUUGAAGAGGCAUCGAUACUUCGGUCACCCGAAGCUUCCACGGGAAGUAAGUCUGGCGUCGAAGUGGCUAUAAGUCCAAGCGAACCAUGCGACUUCCUCGGGAGACAAUAGGGGAUACUUUUCAUUUUUUUCUGCAAUAGAGUAAAGCCAAUAGCUCAAAUUGUGCCUGUCUGUCCGACUCUUAUGAAUUCAAAACUCAGCUCUAGUAAGUCCUACAUGACAAGGGCUUGUAAAUCCUUAUGUAGUUGCCAUAGAGCUCAGUCCGAAGGCAGCUGUCACAAUCCCAAUAACCAAUCAACAAUAGCAUGCCAUAUAAUGUUACGUGCACGGUUCAUACCCUGAGCUGAUAUUCGCCCGGUGUCGGCUUUGCCGGUAUGCUGGCUUUCAGCGCGGCUAUCGCUCGCCGGAUGGGGGUAGGUUCUUGCCAACAACACGGGUCAUACGCUGUCACGAAACAAAAACAUAAAUCAUACCGGACUUUUAGGGGAUUCAAAACAAAAACGAGCCCGAAACAUGUAAGAAGAAGGAAAACACCAAACGGAAACAGGAUCACGAACUCACACGUACCGGAAAUGUCAACUACAAACACUCACCGCGAAGUUUGCUUGGCAGCUGUUUCGCCAAGCAUUGUCCCACCCACAAGGAACCCGUGGGCUCCCAUACCUUGAUGCCUCUUCCUAUAUAUUGGGCAUCCCAACUUCGCUGAUUUACCUUCACUUACCUUUCACUCAUUCCUUCCCACACCACCCUUCAAAAUAGCCUUAGGCUUAACACAUGCUAUCCUCGUGUGUAAACAUUAUAAAAACUGCCCUCUUUAUUGGCAUUAAAUAACAUAACAAAGAAUCAAAAAAAGUUCAAUAAAGGCAUCUUAAAUUUCCUCGAUCUGGUAAUCCAUAGCCCGCCUUCUCUGGCCGUGCAUGGCCCCCUCGUUCUCGACCGGGAUGCCGCUGGUGUUCGUCCGCGUAUGAGAAACAGUCUGUAGUUUGUUCUGUCCGUCCGUGUUGUCGAUGUAUACGAAUAUAUUCAGCCUUUUUUUUAUAAUUUGUUCUGAUUACCUUCCCUUUUUUUCUCUUUUCAGGUUCGACAAGAUGAUACACGCCCGGUGUGCAACAACUCCCUAUUCAACGUUCUGAGGACCUACCCGGAUUAGAGCUCUGAUCCUAGCGCCUACGGUUCCUCUAAAACGGAACUCACGAAAUCUAGAUUGGGACAAAUAACCCCUCUUGUCUCCCCUCAGGUCGUCCGUUUUGGUCCGAAGUCCGGCAUUUACCCUUGCAACCCGGGGAGGUUGCAAGCAUCAGGAGCUCCCACGUUGAUUGGAGUGGCGAUGGUGGCUGGACGUGGCUGAUGACCGACGCUGAUGUAUUGUAGUUAUUCUUUUUUAUUUUGUUUAUAAUUCAUAUAUUUUCCGUGUCUCUAUUCAGGUUGUAAAUUCAAUUCAGUUUGUAAGUUAAGCUUCACUUAAAUUGUAGGUUUUAGCUUUGAAUUAUUUAGGAUGUAAUUUUUAGGAUUAUGAAGCAAGUGAUCUUUAGGUUAUGUAGUAUGUAGACUUUAGGGUUAUUUGGCAUGUAGUUUUUAGGCUGUAACUUUAUAUUGUAUGUAGUUUUUAGGAUUAACUGACACGUAAUUUUUAAGAUUAUUCGGCAUGUAGUUUUAGCCUUUUUUUUUUCUUUUUUUUUGCAUGUAGUUUUUAUAUAUUUAGGUUGUAGCUCCAAAGAUAGAAUUUCUUCAACGCAAAUUCACAGAAAAUAAAAAAAAAUCCAA
rnacentral:sRNA from 1 species